rnacentral:lncRNA from 1 species
GAGGUGAACAAUCACGUGAAGGUUGUGCCCUGGCUCGGGGUGGGAGCACUAACACCGGGGUGCAGCAAUGAAGAGCUCUAAAUGAAUAUAUGCAAGCUCAUAUAAUUCAACCAUUUCAAUUACAUAAUAACUCGCCUGAACUUACCUGUGCCUCCAUACGAUCAUUUGGCAUAACCACAAAUCUCAUCACAAUGCAAUAUUUAAAUAUAACACAUUUAAAUCAUGGCAUGCUAUGCAUAAUCAAUUUAAAACAUUUCUAGAAAACAGUAAG